rnacentral:rRNA from 1 species
AGUUUUAUUUUAAAUAAUAAUCUAAAAAUAAAGAUAAAAAAUUGUAAAUUUUUUUAUGGGCUUAAAUCCUUAUUAUUAAAUUUUUCACUUUAAAAUAAAAUAUUAUUGAACUAAAUUAUAACUAAAAAAUAUUAUAUAUAACUGUUAGGGAGAAAUAAUAUUUUUAAAAAUUAAUUUAAUUGUACCUUUGGUAUCAGGGUUUAUAGAAAAUAUAUUUUAUUAAAAUUUCCCGAAAAAGAAAGAUUUAUUAAGAUAUAAAUUUUUAGUAAAAAUUAAUAAAUUAUAUUUUAAUAGGAACUAAAAAUUAAACGUUUUCUUUAAUUUGGUUACAAAAUUUAAUUUUCUUGUUUAAGGCUAAAAUUAAAAUAUUUUAUUUUUGAAAAGGAUAAUCUUUUCAAAUAUUUAUAGAUAGCUUUUAAUUUAAAUUAAAAAUUAAAAAAAUUUUGUAAAUUUUUAAAAUUGAAUAGAAAUAUUAAAAUUAUAAAAUUAUUAUAUAAAUACAAAUUUUAAUUUUAAACUUGGCCUUUUAUUAGCACCUGUUUAUCAAAAACAUGUCCUUUAAUAAUUUAUAUAAGGUAAAACCUGCUCCUUGAAAAUAUAACUCUUUAAACAGCCGCAGUAAAUUGUGCUAAGGUAGCAUAAUCAUUUGUCCUUUAAUUGAGGUCUAGAAUGAAAGGUUAAUUUGACUAAUAACCUAUAAAAUUAAAAAUAAUAAAAUUUCAAUUUUAAGUAAAAAUGCUUAAAUGUUAUAAAGGGACGAGAAGACCCUAAAAUUUUAAAAUUUUAAUUUUAUUAUAAACUAAAAUUUUUAAUUGGGGCAAUUAAAUUACUAAACUUUUUUUACUUACUCAUUAUAGAUGAAACAGAAAGAAAAAUAUUUAACACAAAAAAUAAUUACUUUAGGGAUAACAGCGCAAUAAUGAGUAAGGAGGCCAAUUUUAAACUUAUGAUUGCGACCUCGAUGUUGAAUUAAGCUAAUUUAAAGAGCAGAUACUUUAAAAUUUUAGUCUGUUCGACUAAUUUAGGCUUACAUGAUUUGAGUUCAGACCGACGUAAGUCAGGUUAGAUUCUAUCUUUUUUUAAAUUUCAUGUGUACGAAAGGAUAAUGAAAAUUAAAUUAAAUU